rnacentral:rRNA from 1 species
UGGGGAAUCUUAGACAAUGGGGGAAACCCUGAUCUAGCCAUGCCGCGUGAGCGAUGAAGGCCUUAGGGUUGUAAAGCUCUUUCAGCUGGGAAGAUAAUGACGGUACCAGCAGAAGAAGCCCCGGCUAACUCCGUGCCAGCAGCCGCGGUAAUACGGAGGGGGCUAGCGUUGUUCGGAAUUACUGGGCGUAAAGCGCACGUAGGCGGAUUAGUCAGUCAGAGGUGAAAUCCCAGGGCUCAACCCUGGAACUGCCUUUGAUACUGCUAGUCUUGAGGUCGAGAGAGGUGAGUGGAAUUCCGAGUGUAGAGGUGAAAUUCGUGGAUAUUCGGAGGAACACCAGUGGCGAAGGCGGCUCACUGGCUCGAUACUGACGCUGAGGUGCGAAAGCGUGGGGAGCAAAACAGGAUUAGAUACCCUGGUAGUCCACGCCGUAAAACGAUGAAUGCCAGUCGUCGGGUUGCAUGCAAUUCGGUGACACACCUAACGGAUUAAAGCAUUCCGCCUGGGGAGUACGGUCGCAAGAUUAAAACUCAAAGGAAUUGACGGGGUCAUAGCUGUUUCCUG